rnacentral:rRNA from 1 species
UACGUAGGCAGCGAGCGUUGUUCGGAAUUACUGGGCGUAAAGAGUGUGUAGGCGGUGUUCCCAGUCUGUUGUGAAAUCUCCCGGCUUAACUGGGAGGGUGCAGCGGAAACUAGAAUGCUAGAGGGUGGGAGAGGUAAGCGGAAUUCCUGGUGUAGCGGUGAAAUGCGUAGAUAUCAGGAGGAACACCUGUGGUGUAGACAGCUUACUGGACCACUUCUGACGCUGAGAUACGAAAGCGUGGGUAGCAAACAGG